CUACAGGUGCGUGCCACUGCCUCAGGCUUCGGCUUGUUUUUUAUAUAUCCUGACUCAUCAUCGUUUUUCAAUCAUAAAAUUAUGAUUCUUAUUGUAGUUGUAAAUUUUAAUUCACUUUAACAUGGCAACAUAUUAACAGAUUCUUAUUGAGCAAAUUUUCAAGAUUAUAAAUUGUACAUGGAAGGAAGCAGCAUUUCCAGUUGACAAAUGGAUCCACAGGUAAUUCGACGUCUCCUAAAUUAAGCUUGUGACGAUUAAACCAAUACAUUGUAGCUAUGAGAAAACUAUUGACAAAGUACAACCAGGGAACUCAUCUCAAUGCUGGAAUCUGUACCUUAAGAAAAAGGAUGAUUACUUGAAGUGGUACAAAUGGCAACCAGGUACCAAGAAAACAGUGAGUUUGGGCAAGUGUAAUUUUUUAGAGCUCACAGUAUAUCUAGAAUGGGAUGAAAAGGAAGAAGAUACAGGAUAGUCUCAUUCAUAUAGAAAGUUAUCCUAAACUCAUGUAACAAAGAGGUUAUAAAAACCAUAAAAUCAUCAGGAAAAAUGACAGCCACUAACCCUGAAUGCUGACAUAGAAAGGACAUUGAUGAGAAUAAACAUUCUGUGCCUUCAGGCUUUGGCAGAUGGCUGGGUCUCCCAAAACGUAAGCAAGGACUGAAAUCUAAAUUGAAAUUACUGCAAAGAAAUAAAAAUAACUUUGAUGCUUAAGGGAAAUUUGGUGGUUUUCGAGAAAUUCAGGCAAUCAUCUAUACAAACUAUCAGGAAAACUGGAUAAUGCAAAAAGCCUUUAAGUAAAGGAUAUCAUUUGAGUAAAUAGGCAGAUGUGGUAUUUAGUAAACCUACUGCCUGAAAGUACAGAAUUCCUGAAAUAGGAGACAAUGGAAAUGUUUACCAAAAGUAAUAGAUCAAUGGAUGCUGGUGAAAUGUAAAAAUGUUCCAUAAAAUUUGAUAGGUAUAUUUUCUUCUCAUUCUUAGGGUGAGGCUAUUUAAUAAUAUUUUCCCAAGUGCAAUCAGACAGUUCACAUCUAAGGACUGCUUGUUUGCUGUGACUGGUGCUGAGAAGAGCAGUUCUCUAAAUAAAGGGCCAUCGUGUUUUAAAUUUCAGAAAGUCUGGUGAAACACAUACCAUAAAAUGCUGCUUCACUUUAUUUUCCAUCAUCUGCUUUCUCCCAUGGGUCUUUCUUGGCUGAUUAUCUCCCUAUUUUAUUUCGGUUUUACUGCCUUUAAUUAUCUCAUUUUGAGCUCCCUGGCGUUUUGUUUUAUCACAAUGUCACGUGAAUAAGCUCUGAGUCAUUUGCACAAGUUGGGGAGAAAGCAGAAGAGGGAUCUGCUCCCAGCUGGACAUCCCUCUGAAGUCUCAUGCCCCCCGUCGACCCCCGCCAACUCCCUGGCCACCCAGGAGCAUCAUGGUCUGAGUCCCAGGUUGGCUGAUGCUCAGCUCCCCUGCACUGGAGAACUCUUCCUAAAACUUUAUUGAGAGAGAAAAAAGAUGACUUGGAAAAAAUAGAAAGUCAUACUAUGAUCUGCUGGGCAUGGUGGCUCACGCCUGUAAUCCCAGCACUUUGGGAGGCCAAGGCGGGCAGAUCACUUGAGGCCAGGAGUUCAAGACCAGUCUGGCCAACAUGGUGAAAACCAGUCUCUAUUAAAAAUACAAAAAUUAGUGAGGUGUGGUGGUGGGCGCCUGUAAUCCCAGCUACUCAGGGGUCUGAGGCAGAAGAAUCAGUUGAACCCGGGAGGCGGAAGUUGCACUGAGCCGAGAUCACACCACUGCACUCCAGCCUGGGCAACACAGCCAGACCCAUCUCAAAAAACACACAAACAAACAAACAAAAAACAGCCGGGCACGGUGGCUCACGCCUGUAAUCCCAGCACUUUGGGAGGCUGAAGCGGGUGGAUCAUGAGGUCAGGAGAUCAAGACCAUCCUGGCUAACAUGGUGAAACCCUGUCUCUACUAAAAAUAUAAAAAAUUAGCUGGGCGUGGUGGCGGGUGCCUGCAGUCCUAGCUACUUGGGAAGCUGAGGCAGGAGAAUGGCGUGAACCUGGGAGGCGGAGCUUGCAGUGAGCCGAGAUCGCACCACUGCACUCCAGCCUGGGCGACAGACAGAGACUCUGUCUCCAAAAAAAAAAAAAAAAA
rnacentral:lncRNA from 1 species